AUUUAGGGGGNCCCCCUUAGAAUACUCAANCUAUGCAUCCAACGCGUUGGGAGCUCUCCCAUAUGGUCGACCUGCAGGCGGCCGCACUAGUGAUUACGGGGAGCAGCAGGCGCGAAACCUUUACACUGCACGACAGUGCGAUAAGGGGAUCCCGAGUGCGAGGGCAUACAGUCCUCGCUUUUCGUGACCGUAAGAAGGUCUCAGAAUAAGAGCUGGGCAAGACCGGUGCCAGCCGCCGCGGUAAUACCGGCAGCUCGAGUGAUAGCCACUAUUAUUGGGCCUAAAGCGUCCGUAGCCGGCCGAACAGGUCCGUCGGGAAAUCCACCCGCUCAACGGGUGGGCGUCCGGCGGAAACCAGGUAGCUUGGGGCCGGAAGACCAGAGGGGUACGUCCGGGGUAGGAGUGAAAUCCCGUAAUCCUGGACGGACCACCGGUUGCGAAAGCGCCUCUGGAGAACGGACCCGACGGUGAGGGACGAAAGCUAGGGUCUCGAACCGGAUUAGAUACCCGGGUAGUCCUAGCUGUAAACGAUGCUCGCUAGGUGCGACGCAGGCCACGAGCCUGCGUUGUGCCGUAGGGAAGCCGAGAAGCGAGCCGCCUGGGAAGUACGUCCGCAAGGAUGAAACUUAAAGGAAUUGGCGGGGGAGCACAAUCCCGCGGCCAUGGCGGCCGGGAGCAUGCGACGUCGGCCC
rnacentral:rRNA from 1 species